UCAUCAGCCACCCUGGAACAUCCCAGUCCUUUCUCUCUCCUCUCCAGGUCUCGACAUGUUUGACUGCACCAAAGCAGAGGGGCGAUGGGUAGCCUGGCAGUGCUGAGAGAGCAGGUUUGUGCUGGGUGCAUCCCCUGUGUGCCCCCCUGGGACCCCAGCUCCAGAAGAGCAGAGACGGGGAGAGCCCUGGACAGUGGAGCCAUGCGGAGCAGAGAGCUGAAGAGAGCCCAAUCUCCAGAGCAGAGUGUGCAAGGCUAGUGGUUCUCCCUGUGCAAGAAGGCUGAACCAAGAAAUAGCUGCAGAAGGUGGCUUUGAUGGCACACACCUGUGGCCUGAUCCUGCUUGGAGCACACAUCCCCUUGGCUGAGUCAAGCUCAGGUGCUCAGYGCCAUCAGGACUGGGCUCAGGGCUGAGGAUGCAGCUGAACUGGCUGUGCUGCAAGGCCAAGCGCAGCGGAGUGAGGACAUUGGUAUUUAUAAGUGGGCUUGGCACUUCUCUGUGUUUUCCCAAUUGUCGYGUCUAUAUGGUCUGUUGCCCAAGUAAGGGGAAAAAGAUCCCUUGUGUGAUCUGGAGGUGUAACUUGCUGGAUCUGACAUGUAAAUGUUAAUGAAGAAACAACACUGAAGAGACAAAAAMCCCUCCUACCCUUGAACCCCUUGAGAUCCCUUUAUUAUCCUGGCAGUUGUUGCACUUGGACUGGCUUUCCGCAUUCUCAUCUCAAAUCGGCUGGCUCUAGCAACUGUUCCCGAGAUUCCACAGCUAUGUCCUACUGAGGGAAAACAUUUAUUGAAGUUUUCAUAUUAUUGGGGAAAUACAUAUUUCUGCUUCUUUGCAAAGCUCCACUGAUGUUCUUUCUAAGCCAGACCCACAUGUCAGCGGAGGGGCAUGAGAAGCCUCCUCUCACUUCUCUCUUGCAGCCAUUUCCUCUGGUGUGAACUUUGCAUACCCAGAAAUGCCGCAGAGGGGGAUUCCUAAACAGCCACGUGCGUUAUUAGUGGUCAAUUAUGGUGAGUAUGCGUGUACUUUACUCUCCUACGUAAAGCUGCACUUCAGCUAAUUCACACCUCUGCAGAAGCAGGGRUGUACAAGUACACCUACGUGGCUAGCUCUAGAUCAUCAGCUAACCACCCUGGAGAUGACCUGUGCCAGGUCAGGAUCAGAGCCUUGGU
rnacentral:lncRNA from 1 species